GGAGGGAUGGCAGAGCGGCCGAUUGCGGCGGUCUUGAAAACCGUUGUGGGUUCGCCCACCGGGGGUUCGAAUCCCUCUCCCUCCG
rnacentral:tRNA from 1 species